UUGAUCCUGGCUCAGAUUGAACGCUGGCGGCAUGCCUUACACAUGCAAGUCGAACGGUAACAGGUCUUUCGGGAUGCUGACGAGUGGCGAACGGGUGAGUAAUACAUCGGAACGUGCCUAGUAGUGGGGGAUAACUACUCGAAAGAGUGGCUAAUACCGCAUGAGAUCUAUGGAUGAAAGCAGGGGACCUUCGGGCCUUGUGCUACUAGAGCGGCCGAUGGCAGAUUAGGUAGUUGGUGGGAUAAAAGCUUACCAAGCCUACGAUCUGUAGCUGGUCUGAGAGGACGAUCAGCCACACUGGGACUGAGACACGGCCCAGACUCCUACGGGAGGCAGCAGUGGGGAAUUUUGGACAAUGGGGGAAACCCUGAUCCAGCAAUGCCGCGUGCAGGAUGAAGGCCUUCGGGUUGUAAACUGCUUUUGUACGGAACGAAAAGUCUUGGGUUAAUACCCUGGGAUCAUGACGG
rnacentral:rRNA from 1 species